rnacentral:lncRNA from 10 species
UGGGAGUAGCAUAACAGAAAUGCCAUCACCCAUGUUAGAAUCAGGCUGUGGCCCCUCCAGCUCUCUUCUUCCUUGACUUCCACGGGAUUCAGAUGGCAUCCAUAUCUUCAGCUCACAUUUUUAAGGUUCACGCUUUACUGCCCAAGAAGAUGGACCAGAGAUUUGAAGUUAAGCAGGCCUGGCCUGGCCACUUAACCAGCAGAAUCUCAGAUGUCAUGUUUUCCUGCCAUGGCAAGGCUAAGGGAAGUGCUCCACCAGGGGACAGCAGAAAGUAAGAUGAAGGCUGUGGACUCAAAUCUCAGGGUUUGAACUUCAAACGCACACCCCGCUCUCUUGGCUACUGACCUUGGGCAUUGACUUGAUCUCUGCAGAGUUACAGCUUGCAA